CACAUUUGACUUGAAAGGUUAAUAAAAUAGGUACUUGUCACUCCGUUUUUCUGUAUGCUUAACAAAACACUGUUGAAAUCUUAAGAACUGUUUGCUAAUCUUGUUCCCAGAAUGGGCUGUCCCCAACUGCGAACUGUUUGCUAAUCUUGAUCCCAAAAUGUGCUGUCCCCAACUGCCAAACUGCAGAAUGUAACUUCCCUCCCUGCCCUCUCCAAGGAAAGUAUAUAAGCUCUGCUUAAGCUGUUCUCAGGGCUCUUUGCUCUAUUCGAGUGAGCUCUGAGCCCCAGCAUGCUGGACCCCCAAUAAACCCUUUGCUGUUGCAUGAGACAGUCUCUUGGUGGUCUCUUCCUCCGACGCUCGCCCGACCUUUACAUCUGGAGGCCCCAGCAAGAUCUGGCAGCGGCAGACGAAAGACCCCCAAUGGACCCCUCUCGGGGUAAGUAAGGCGCCUCUUUCUGGUUUCUGCUUUCUGGUUUCUGGUUCCAGGUUUGUUUCAGGUUUCUGGUUCCAGGUUUCAGGUUUCUGGUUUCUGGUUCCAGGUUUUAGGUUUCUGGUUCCAGGUUUUAGGUUUAUGGUUCCAGGUUUCAGGUUUCUGGUUCCAGGUUUCAGGUUUCUGGUUUCAGGUUCCAGGUUUCUGGUUUCAGGUUUCAGGUUAGGGCUGGCAAAGCGGCUCUCCAAAGGUGGCUGACAGACGUGUCACAGAGCCACAGGUCACGUCCCUGGGGGACGCCCCAGAGGACUCGGGAAAUCGAGGAACAAUAGUCUCCUCGACUCAGUGAUAUUUUGUUUCUGAUUCGGUAUUGCCAGCCCAUCGGGUUUUGCCGGCUACUCAGUCCUGGUCUCAGUGUUGGACGUCCAUUGCCUGUCUUUAUUGUCUUGUCUUAUCUGUGUCCUGUGACAUUGCUUUCACUGUUUGUGUAUCUUUCAUUAUGGGACAGAGCACUUCAACGCCUCUGUCCCUGACCCUUGAUCACUGGACCGAAGUCCACUUCAGGGCUCAGAAUCUUUCUUUUUCAGUAAAACGCCGAACCUGGCAGACUCUCUGUGCCUCAGAAUGGCCUACCUUUGGAGUCGGAUGGCCCCCAGGAGGAUCUUUCUACUCUCCACUAAUUCGAAAAGUCAGAGAUAUUGUCUUUCAGCCAGGGCCACAUAGCCAUCCAGAUCAACAGCCGUAUAUCUUAACUUGGCAGGACCUCUGCGAAUCUCCUCCUCCAUGGGUGAAGCCUUUCCUUGUCCCUGCCCCUGCUCCUAUUCCUUCCCCCACAAUUCUAUCUCUCAAGCCCUCUGCUCCUCCUCCUCCUCAACCCUCUGUUCUCCCUGAGUCUCAAGAUUUGACUCUACUGGACUCUCCUCCCCCUCCUUAUCUCCUGCCCUCGUCCCCCAACCCCCAACACCCUCUAAGUGAUUCUCCUGCUGCUGACUCAGCCUCUCCACCAUUGGAGGAGGCUGAGCCGGCCCAGCACCCUCCAGAUGACUUCCCCGAGGCACACACAGCCCCUCCUCCCCUGGAGGAAGCUGGCCCGGCUAAAGAAACUCGCCAACGGUGAAUGAUUAAAAACCCUGAAGCCCCCGUGAUACUCCCCCUCCGUCCUUAAGGGCCAAUGAUUGACGAUGGCCAUGGAGGAGAAAUGCAAGCCUACCAGUAUUGGCCUUUCUCCUCUUCAGACCUAUAUAACUGGAAAAAUAACAAUCCCCCUUUUUCCAAGGACCCCACCCGGCUCACAGGUCUGAUUGAGUCAUUGAUGUUUUCACACCAUCCUACUUGGGAUGACUGCCAACAACUCCUAGGGACUCUCUUCACGACAGAGGAACAAAAGAGACUCCUCCUGGAAGCUAGAAAAAAAAAAUAUCCUCGGACCAGAUGGGUGACCGACACAACUUCCCCUUGAACCAACCCAACUGGGACCCCAACACCUUUGAAGGUAGGGAGCAUCUGUCCACUUAUCGCCGGGCUCUAAUAGUGGGUCUCCGAGCAGCCGCUAGGCAACCAACUAAUUUGGCCAAGGUAAGAGAGAUUAUUCAAGGGCCUGAUGAAUCUCCCUCUAUGUUUCUAGAGAGAAUUAUGGAGGCAUAUAGGAGAUAUACUCCUUUUGAUCCUCAGGCAGAGGAUCAAAAGGCAUCUGACACGAUGGCCUUUAUUGGGCAAGCUGCCCUGGAUAUUAAAAGAAAGUUACAACACUUAGAUGGAUUACAAGAUAUGACCUUGAGAGAUUUAGUCAGAGAAGCCGAGAAAGUAUACUAUAAGAGAGAAGCUGAGGAAGAGAAGGGAGCAAAGGGAGGAUGAGAGAAGCAAAAGACAGACUAAGGCGUUGACUAAGGUCCUGGUCACGACAGCAAAUAGGCCAGAAAUUAAGAAACAGGGAGACAGGAAGGAAUACCUGGGCCCACUCCAGAGGCCACCCCUGGCCUCAGAUCAGUGUGCCUACUGUAAAAAAAAAAAAAAAGGACACUAAGCCAAAGAGUGCCCUAAAAAGAGACAGCCACGCCAGCCAGCCAUUCUGACUCUGGAGGAUAACUAAAAAAGUCGGGGCUUGGGUUCCCUCCCCGAGCUCAAAGUAACUUUUGAAGUGGAGGGGACCCCAGUAAACUUUGAGGUGGAUACAGGGGCAGUAUACUCAGCCCUUAAGGCCCCAUUGGGCCCUCUAUCAAAUAAAAGGUCUCUAAUUCAAGGGGCUAACAGCAGUAAAUAUUGGGCUUGGACAACUAAUAGGACCAUGGACCUGGGGAAAGGAAAAGUCCAUCACUCCUUCCUAGUGAUCCCAGAAUGCCCAGCCCCAUUGAUGGGCAGAGAUCUGCUCACCAAGCUCCGGGCCAAAAUAACUUUUAACCCUGAAGGCCCCCAAAUGGAAUUUCUAAAUCCUUCAGUAAAAACUCCUAUAGUCAUGGCUUUAACUAUGUCAGUAGAAGAUGAACAUCAACUCUUUACACACCCCAAGACUGAUCAAACAGGCAAGCUACCCCAGAAAUGGAUAACAGAUUACCCAGAUGCCUGGGCAGAAACUGCUGGGUUAAGCCUAGCGAUGAAACAACCUCCAAUAACAGUGGAGUUAAAAACCUCAGCCUCCCCAAUUAAUGUCAAACAAUAUCCUCUGAGCAAAGAAGCUAAAGAUGGGAUAAGGCCCCAUAUUCAGAAAUAUCUGGCCUUAGGGGUCCUAAGGCCCGGUCAAUUGGCCUGGAACACUCCCCUGCUACCAGUAAAAAAGCCAGGAACUGGGGACUAUCGCCCCAUUCAAGACCUAAGAGAGAUCAACAACAGAGUGCAGGACAUUCACCCCACGGUACCUAAUCCAUACAAUCUGCUUAGCACUCUAAACCCUGAAUGAAAAUGGUAUACUGUUCUGGACUUAAAAGAUGCUUUCUUUUGCUUGCCUCUGCAUAAAGAUAGUCAGUUGCUGUUUGCUUUUGAGUGGGUAGACCCAGAAACCAGAACGUCUGGUCAACUAACUUGGACUAGACUCCCACAGGGGUUCAAAAACUCCCCCACACUCUUUGAUGAAGCCCUCCACAGAGAUAUCAACAACUUCAGAACUACGCACCCCGAAGUCACCCUGCUUCAAUAUGUGGAUGACCUGUUACUGGCAGCUGACACCAAGGAAAACUGUGAGUCUGGGACCCAAGUACUAUUAUCCGAGCUUCCUCAACUCGAGUAUAGAGCUUCUGCCAAAAAGGCCCAAAUUUGCCAGCAAGAAGUAAUCUUCCUGGGCUAUUCCCUCAGGGGCGAUAAAUGAUGGCUCACUGAGCCCAGAAAACAAACUGUUGUGCAAAUACCACCCCCAUCUAACAGGAGGCAACUCAGAGAGUUUCUUGGGACUGCUGGCUUUUGCAGGUUAUGGAUACCUGGGUUUGCAUCCUUAGCUGCUCCUUUGUACCCGCUGUUAAAGGGAGAUGCCCAAUUCCAAUGGACCCCUGAGCACCAGCAAGCUUUUGAUAACAUCAAAAUGGCGCUGCUAUCUGCUCCGGCCUUAGCACUCCCAGAUGUAGAAAAACCCUUUACUCUCUACAUUGAGGAAAAGAAAGGAAUAGCAUGAGGAGUGCUCACUCAGACUCUAGGACCCUGGAAAAGGCCUAUAGCCUACUUGUCUAAAAAGCUGGACCCAGUGGCUGGUGGAUGGCCCCAUUGCCUAAAAGCUAUAGCAGCGGCGGCCCUACUAAUCAAGGAUGCUGAUAAGUUAACGCUGGGACAGAAGCUAACCAUUAUAGCCCCCCAUGCCAUAGAGAGCAUCAUCUGCCAGCCACCAGACAGAUGGCUAUCAAACUCUAGAAUAACACACUAUCAGAGCCUGUUGCUUGACAAGGACAGAAUAAUGCUGGGACCCCCCGCCCCACUUAACCCGGCUACACUACUACCUGAACAAUCAUCAGGACCUGUCACUCAUGACUGUCAACAUAUACUGACAGAAGAAACCAGUAUACGACGGGAUUUAAAGGAUCAGCCACUGCCCCACCCUGAGGUCAUAUGGUUUACUGAUGGCAGUAGCUUCCUCCAGGACGGUAAGCGGCAAGCUAGGGCAGCAAUAGUUAGCAGAACUAAAGUCAUCUGGUCCUCUAGCCUCCCGGAGGGAACAUCAGCUCAAAAGGCAGAGCUGAUCGCCCUCACGAAGGCAUUAGAGCUAGCGGCAGGCAAAAAGGCCACUAUAUACACAGAUAGCCGCUAUGCCUUUGCUACCGCUCAUAUACACGGGGCUAUCUACCAGCAAAGGGGACUAUUAACCUCGGUGGGAAAGGAAAUAAAAAACAGAGAUGAGAUCCUCCACCUCCUCUCAGCAGUGCAAAGCCCUAGAGAACUAGCUAUAGUGCACUGUCCAGGACACCAGAAAGGAAAUGAUCCCGUAGCAGUCGAGAACAGAAGGGUGGAUGAAGAGGCUAAAUUGGCAGCCCUAAACAGAGUAACCAUGUUAACACUUUCCACACCGGGGGAACAUAAGUCAGGAGAUUUAACUACGUUGGAGCACCCCGACAACUUAACAUCUAAGGACGCUGACACUGAACUCCUCGAUUUCACUGAGCCCAGCCUGCAAUUUCAGAAAGCCCUACACUAUGUUAAAAAUGUACAUCAACUCACUCACCUUGGUUCAAAGAAACUGCAGGCAUUCCUGAAGGAUCAAGAACAGAGUUUUCCACUAACUGACUCACAGCGAAAGGAAAUAGCUGAACGGGUAACAAAAGUCUGUUGGGUCUGUCAAUUGGUUAAUGCUUACCCUUCCAAGCUUCCUGCAGGAAAGCGCCUACGAGGAACCAGACCAAGACAAUUCUGGGAAGUGGACCUUACUGAAAUUAAGCCAGCAAGGUAUGGACUUAAAUAUCUCCUAGUCUUCGUAGAUACAUUUUCAGGAUGGAUUGAAGCCUUCCCCACAAAAAAAGAAACGGCGCAAAUGGUGGUCAAGAAGAUCCUAGAAGAUAUUUUUCCAAGAUACGGCCUGCCUAAGGUAAUAGGGUCUGAUAAUGGACCGGCAUUCGUGGCCCAGGUAAGCCAGAGGUUAACCAGGACCCUGGGGAUUAAUUGGAAGUUACAUUGCGCUUAUAGACCCCAGAGCUCAGGACAGAUAGAAAGAAUGAAUAAAACCAUUAAAGAGACCUUAACGAAAUUAAGCUUAGAGACCAGCAUAAAAGAUUGGACUAUACUCCUGCCUUAUGCACUGUUUCGUGCAAAAAAAAAAUACUCCCUCUGUUUCUUUGUGUAACCUCACCCCCUAUAAAAUUCUCUAUGGUGCCCCUCCUCCAGUAAGGGACCUGAUGGCAAUCUCUCCACCCAGACAUUUGUCAGCUGGCUAUAGGUCUUUCCUAUUGGGAUAUCCCUGAUAAAGAGGAUCCCACUAAAAUUCCAUUAAAUCCCUUCCGUACCAUAGAUAAUGGAAACAAACAUUAUGGAUGUAGGGACACGCGAACCAGAUGCAGGUUGGCUAACCUAGAUUACUAUGUUUGCCUGGCGGACUAUCGAAGCCACAAACAGUCACGGCUGUGUGGGGGAAAAACCGACUUCUUCUGUAAGUCAUAAGGAUGUGAAUAUACAGGGACUACCUGAUGGAACCCAAACCUCCGCCGGUUCUCAGACCAUUGCCCCCUUGCUGAGGUAACAGGUACUGAGGUACCCCUCCACCCAUUCACUCCUCUCUUCUCCUGUCAGUGCCCACACUGGGUCCCACCAGGUCCUCUUACCAGCUAACCCGAAGCUCAAACCAGCUGAGGAGAGCCCUCAGACCCCUAUCCAAGAUGUAAUGAAAAUGGCCUUUAAAGUUGCUUUGUCAUCACUGAAAACAGGUUACUAAAAAUUUAAAGUCCCUCACAGGCUUUUUGGGAUACUCACUCCCGUCUUCCCCUCUGCUCUACCUGUUCUACUACUCAAGUUUUUGUUGCUAGGAAAAUCCCAAACCCCUUUCUCAUUAUUCUUUUACAUCUCUCCUUCCUCAUUCUCAGAUCCAUGGAGCUGCUCUCAGCCCCGCCUUCCCCGUCUUCCCCCUCUGUACCAGGCCCACAGAAAAGUCUUAACUGACCUUCUCCAGAAGUCUUCACCAUGGCUAACUUUAAGACUUUCAGCAAAAGAGUCCCUAUAAAAGAGUUCAGUGUAGAUUAACUUCCUCUUUUCGUGUUGCCCUGUUCUACUUGGCCACUGGCUAAAAAAUCAGCACUCCUAAGCUAGACACCCCCUUACUAGUUUUUCUCAAAAUAUGUGAACAAGGCCUCUGGCCUUGAGCUGGGGCUUCACAGAGAUGGCUACAUUUCUAAGAUAAAGAAGUUACCAACUGGGCUCCAUGGUAACAGCUGACAAGGGAAAAAAAGAAAGGAAAAAAAAAGGCUCUCCCCCUCCCAGAUGUCCUUAAAAAGUUAACUUGCCCAGAACAGAGAAAAAAACAGAAACAAAAACUGCUUUUUAUAAACUUCUGCAGACUGUGAACUUCUGAGCCCCUUCCCUUACAUGUUGGGUACAAAAUUCUGAAACUACCUAAACUUGGGGUUCAGGGGAUUAAUUGAUUACAACAGAAGCAAUGCCCUCUGAAUCCGGUUGCAACCAAAUAGGACUGUUUCCCUGUCUUCGGUGCUAUCUUAGGUACCUUGCCUUGUCCGUCCCUACAACAGUAUAAUUCUAUAUACUUAAACAUUGUUUAUGUUUUCAUAAAAUGGUCAACAGAUGUAAUUAAUUAUGUAAUGGUGCAGAUGUUUCCCAGAGUGCUCUAUCAUGACACAAGUUCAUUUGAAGAUCAAAUAGGGGGGCAUACAACCCGGUUCCGCUGGGAACCUGUAUCCCUCACUUUAGCCAUCCUAUUAGGAAUAGGAAUUGCUGCAGGGGUGGGCACAGGAACCACUGCCCUAGUCCAUGGGACACAACAAAUGAUCCAAUUAGAAACAGCAAUGGACCAAAACUUAAAGAUAUUAGAAACCUCCAUCACAGCUUUGCAGGAAUCUUUAACCUCGCUCUCUGAAGUUGUUUUACAGAACAGGCGAGGGUUGGACCUCCUCUUCAUGAAAGAAGAGGGCCUUUGUGCUGCAUUGAGGGAAGAAUGUUGUUUUUAUGCCGACCAUACUGGAGUUGUAAAAGAAUCUAUGAGUAAAUUAAGAAGAUGCCUUGAAGAGCGUCAGCGAGAGAGAGAAGCCCAAAAAGGGUGCUAUGAGUCUUGGUUCACACAGUCCCCCUGGUUAACCAUGCUUUUAUCAGCCCUGGCCGGUCCAUUAAGAAUCCUCAUGUUAUUGCUAACUAUAGGACCUUGCUUGCUCAACCGUGUAGUUUCCUUUCUCCAGGCUCAAAUUGGACAAGUUAAACUUAUGGUAAUCAGACAACAAUAUACCCCACUAGCAGACAUAGAAUGUGACACCCCCCAACAAUCACUUUUAUGAUUAAAAGUAGCCAGAAGAAGAAUUGGGGAAUGAAAGGUUAAUAAAAUAGGUACUUGUCACUCCGUUUUUCUGUAUGCUUAACAAAACACUGUUGAAAUCUUAAGAACUGUUUGCUAAUCUUGUUCCCAGAAUGGGCUGUCCCCAACUGUGAACUGUUUGCUAAUCUUGUUCCCAAAAUGUGCUGUCCCCAACUGCCAAACUGCAGAAUGUAACUUCCCUCCCUGCCCUCUCCAAGGAAAGUAUAUAAGCUCUGCUUAAGCUGUUCUCAGGGCUCUCUUUGCUCUAUUCAAGUGAGCUCUGAGCCCCAGCAUGCUGGAUCCCCAAUAAACCCUUUGCUGUUGCAUGAGACAGUCUCUUGUUGUUCUCUUCCUCCGACGCUCGCCCGACCUUUACAGACUUACCAAAAUUGAAUAAUAAACAGUAUAAAAAUAUUUAAAUAGACCAAUAAU
rnacentral:lncRNA from 1 species